AGUCUCGGGACCUCCCUUCCGUCUGGGCGUGUGUCCGCCCCCGGCCGGCUUCCUCCCGUCGGGCUCGGGUCGACCCCACCGUCCCGCUCCGCCCCGGGUCCUCCCUCCCAGCUUCCCUCCGCCACCCUGAAGGGUCCCUUCCCAAGCCCUUAGGGACCGCAGAGGACUUGGGGACCAGCAAGCAACCCCCAGGGCACGAGAAGAGCUCUUGCUGUCUGCCCUGCCUCACCCUGCCCCACGCCAGGCCCGGUGGCCCCCAGCUGCAUCAAGUGGAGGCGGAGGAGGAGGCGGAGGAGGGUGGCACCAUGGGCCCGGGCGGUGCCCUCCAUGCCCGGGGGAUGAAGACACUGCUGCCAUGGACAGCCCGUGCCAGCCGCAGCCCCUAAGUCAGGCUCUCCCUCAGUUACCAGGGUCUUCGUCAGAGCCCUUGGAGCCUGAGCCUGGCCGGGCCAGGAUGGGAGUGGAGAGUUACCUGCCCUGUCCCCUGCUCCCCUCCUACCACUGUCCAGGAGUGCCUAGUGAGGCCUCGGCAGGGAGUGGGACCCCCAGAGCCACAGCCACCUCUACCACUG
rnacentral:lncRNA from 1 species